UGAAUUUCAAAGCCUCAAAACCUUUCUUCUCUUCACGUCACUGUCCUUGCUGCGGCCCAGCCGCCGGACCACCACCGACGACGCUCCCCUCCUCCGUCGUCCCUCUCUGCUUGCCGCCGCACCGCCACCAACGUCGGCUCCGCUCCAGCCGCUGCAACUUUCGUCGCCUGUCCUCCGACCACACGGUAGUCUUCUUCGUUCUCGUUCUUCUCUUUCGUCCGUCCCCUUCUCUUUUGGUUUCAGUUCUUUUCUUCCCCUAAUCAUUAUUGUUUGUUGAGUCACACACAACCACCGCGAGUUUUCCUCGCCGCCAGCAGCCGCCGUGAAUCUUGCCGUCGCUGGAUCGUCGACCCCUUUGCACGCCGCCACCACCUCGCUGCCGCUGGUGCGCCGCCGCGUGCCGCCCAGCCACGCCCUUGUCGCCGGCAGUUUCCCUCUCUCCUCUUUGAUUUGGUGGAGAAUUCUUUGUAGGCGACCCUUGAGAUUGUUAUAGUAGCCUAUCAAUUUGUUUACACAAG